rnacentral:rRNA from 1 species
UGGGGAAUAUUGCACAAUGGGCGCAAGCCUGAUGCAGCAACGCCGCGUGAGGGACGACGGCCUUCGGGUUGUAAACCUCUUUUAGUAGGGAAGAAGCGAAAGUGACGGUACCUGCAGAAAAAGCACCGGCUAACUACGUGCCAGCAGCCGCGGUAAUACGUAGGGUGCGAGCGUGUCCGGAAUUAUUGGGCGUAAAGAGCUCGUAGGCGGUCUGUCGCGUCUGCUGUGAAAACCCGAGGCUCAACCUCGGGCCUGCAGUGGGUACGGGCAGACUAGAGUGCGGUAGGGGAGAAUGGAAUUCCUGGUGUAGCGGUGGAAUGCGCAGAUAUCAGGAGGAACACCGAUGGCGAAGGCAGUUCUCUGGGCCGUAACUGACGCUGAGGAGCGAAAGCGUGGGGAGCGAACAGGAUUAGAUACCCU